GAUGAAGAACGUAGCGAAAUGCGAUAAGUAAUGUGAAUUGCAGAAUUCAGUGAAUCAUCGAAUCUUUGAACGCACAUUGCGCCCGCCAGUAUUCUGGCGGGCAUGCCUGUUCGAGCGUCAUUUCAACCAUCGAGCCCCCGGCUUGUGUUGGGGACCUGCGGCUGCCGCAGGCCCUGAAAACCAGUGGCGGGCUCGCUAGUCACUCCGAGCGUAGUAAUACAUCUCGCUCAGGGCGUGCUGCGGGUUCCGGCCGUUAAAAAGCCUUAUUUACCCAAGGUUGACCUCGGAUCAGGUAGGAAGACCCGCUGAACUUAAGCAUAUCAAUAAGCGGAGG
rnacentral:misc_RNA from 1 species